rnacentral:rRNA from 1 species
GACGAACCGUGCGAACGUUAUUCGGAAUCACUGGGCUUAAAGCGUGCGUAGGCGGCUCAGAAAGUUGGGUGUGAAAUACCUCGGCUCAACCGAGGAAUUGCGCUCAAAACUACUGGGCUUGAGGGAGUUAGAGGUGAGCGGAACUAAUGGUGGAGCGGUGAAAUGCGUUGAUAUCAUUAGGAACACCGGUGGCGAAAGCGGCUCACUGGGGCUCUGCUGACGCUGAGGCACGAAAGCUAGGGGAGCGAACGGG